rnacentral:rRNA from 1 species
UUAGAGUUUGAUCCUGGCUCAGGAUGAACGCUGGCGGCGUGCCUAAUACAUGCAAGUCGAACGAAGAUUAUAGAAGCUUGCUUCUAUAAUCUUAGUGGCGAACGGGUGAGUAAUACAUAAAUAACCUGCCCCUAUGUUUGGAAUAACAGUUGGAAACGACUGCUAAUGCCAAAUGAGUUAACGGAAGGCAUCUUCUGUUAAUAAAAGAUGGGAUACAUCGCAAAGGGAUGGAUUUAUGGCGCAUUAGUUAGUUGGUGAGGUAACGGCUCACCAAGACCAUGAUACGUAGCCGACCUGAGAGGGUGAUCGGCCACAUUGGGAUUGAGAUACGGCCCAGACUCCUACGGGAGGCAGCAGUAAAGAAUAUUGCGCAAUGGGGGGAACCCUGACGCAGCAACGCCACGUGUGGGAAGAAGCAUUUCGGUGUGUAAACCACUGUCGAAAAGGAAUAAUAGAAGAUUUCGGUCUUUUUGAAUGUACUUUUAAUAGGAAGCACCGGCAAACUUCGUGCCAGCAGCCGCGGUAAUACGGAGGAUCCUAGUGUUAUCCGGAUUUAUUGGGUUUAAAGGGUGCGCAGGCGGAGAGAUAAGUCAGUGGUGAAAAACUGCCGCUCAACGGUAGUCUUGCCAUUGAUACUGUCUUUCUUGAGUAUGGAUGAGGUAGGCGGAAUGUGCAGUGUAGCGGUGAAAUGCAUAGAUAUUGCACGGAACACCAAUUGCGCUUGCAGCUUACUGGACCAUUACUGACGCUCAGGCACGAAAGCGUGGGGAUCAAACAGGAUUAGAUACCCUGGUAGUCCACGCAGUAAACGAUGUUCACUCGCUGUUUGCGAUAUAUUGUAAGCGGCUGAGCGAAAGCGUUAAGUAAUCCACCUGGGGAGUACGUUCGCAAGAAUGAAACUCAAAGGAAUUGACGGGGGCCCGCACAAGCGGAGGAACAUGUGGUUUAAUUCGAUGAUACGCGAGGAACCUUACCCGGGCUCGAACGGUGCAUGAAUAUACGAGAGAUUGUAUAGUCCUUCGGGACAUGUAUCGAGGUGCUGCAUGGUUGUCGUCAGCUCGUGCCGUGAGGUGUCGGCUUAAGUGCCAUAACGAGCGCAACCCUUGUCAUUAGUUGCCAUCAGGUCAAGCUGGGGACUUUAAUGAGACUGCCACCGUAAGGUGUGAGGAAGGGGGGGAUGACGUCAAAUCAGCACGGCCCUUAUGUCCGGGGCGACACACGUGUUACAAUGGGAGGUACAGAGGGCAGCUAUCCGGUGACGGAAUGCUAAUCUCCAAAACCUUUCUCAGUUCGGAUUGGAGUCUGCAACUCGACUCCAUGAAGGUGGAUUCGCUAGUAAUCGCGCAUCAGCCAUGGCGCGGUGAAUACGUUCCCGGGCCUUGCACUCACCGCCCGUCAAG